UUGUGAGAGCAAGAGCCCGGAGAUGGAUUCUGAGACACGAAUCCAGGCCCUACGGGGUGCAGCAGGCGCGAAAACUUUACAAUGCUGGCAACAGCGAUAAGGGAACCUCGAGUGCCAGGUUACAAAUCUGGCUGUCGAGAUGCCUAAAAAGCAUUUCAUAGCAAGGGCCGGGCAAGACCGGUGCCAGCCGCCGCGGUAACACCGGCGGCUCGAGUGGUAACCGUUAUUAUUGGGUCUAAAGGGUCUGUAGCCGGCCGGAUAAGUCUCUUGAGAAAUCUGGCAGCUUAACUGUCAGGCUUUCAGGAGAUACUGUCUGGCUCGAGGCCGGGAGAGGUGAGAGGUACUUCAGGGGUAGGGGCGAAAUCUUGUAAUCCUUGAAGGACCACCAGUGGCGAAGGCGUCUCACCAGAACGGACCUGACGGCAAGGGACGAAAGCUAGGGGCACGAACCGGAUUAGAUACCCGGGUAGUCCUAGCCGUAAACGAUACUCGCUAGGUGUCGGCCACGGUGCGACCGUUGUCGGUGCCGUAGGGAAGCCGUGAAGCGAGC
rnacentral:rRNA from 1 species